AACGAACGCUGGCGGCAGGCCUAACACAUGCAAGUCGAGCGCCCCGCAAGGGGAGCGGCAGACGGGUGAGUAACGCGUGGGAAUCUACCCAUCCCUACGGAACAACUCAGGGAAACUUGAGCUAAUACCGUAUACGCCCUCCGGGGGAAAGAUUUAUCGGGGAUGGAUGAGCCCGCGUUGGAUUAGCUAGUUGGUGAGGUAAUGGCUCACCAAGGCGAAGAUCCAUAGCUGGUCUGAGAGGAGGAUCAGCCACACUGGGACUGAGACACGGCCCAGACUCCUACGGGAGGCAGCAGUGCGGAAUCUUGGACACUGGGCGAAAGCCUGAUCCAGCCAUGCCGCGUGAGUGAUGACGGCCCUAGGGUUGUAAAGCUCUUUCAACGGUGAAGAUAAUGACGGUAACCGUAGAAGAAGCCCCGGCUAACUUCGUGCCAGCCGCCGCGGUAAAAC
rnacentral:rRNA from 1 species